rnacentral:rRNA from 1 species
UACGAGGGGAGCAAGCGUUGUUCGGAUUUACUGGGCGUAAAGGGCGCGUAGGCGGCGUGACAAGUCACUUGUGAAAUCUCCGGGCUUAACUCGGAACGGUCAAGUGAAACUGUCGUGCUAGAGUACAGAAGGGGCAACUGGAAUUCUCGGUGUAGCGGUGAAAUGCGUAGAGAUUAGGAAGAACACCAGUGGCGAAGGCGAUUCUCUGGACUGUAACUGACGCUGAGGCUCGAAAGCGUGGGGAGCAAACAGG